rnacentral:rRNA from 1 species
CGGACGGGUGAGUAACACGUGGAUAACCUACCUAUAAGACUGGGAUAACUUCGGGAAACCGGAGCUAAUACCGAUAAUAUAUUGAACCGCAUGGUUCAAUAGUGAAAGACGGUUUUGCUGUCACUUAUAGAUGGAUCCGCGCCGCAUUAGCUAGUUGGUAAGGUAACGGCUUACCAAGGCAACGAUGCGUAGCCGACCUGAGAGGGUGAUCGGCCACACUGGAACUGAGACACGGUCCAGACUCCUACGGGAGGCAGCAGCC